rnacentral:rRNA from 1 species
GAUGAACGCUGACAGAAUGCUUAACACAUGCAAGUCGAUUCAAAGUUCCUUUCGGGGAACGGAGGAUGGCGGACGGGUGAGUAACGCGUAAGGAACUUGCCUUUUGGCCUGGGACAACUGUUGGAAACGACAGCUAAUACCGGAUAUUAUGAGAUUCUCGCAUGGGAAACUUAUGAAAGCUAUAUGCGCCAAAAGAGAGCCUUGCGUUCCAUUAGCUAGUUGGUGGGGUAACGGCCCACCAAGGCGACGAUGGAUAGCCGGCCUGAGAGGGUGAACGGCCACAAGGGGACUGAGACACGGCCCUUACUCCUACGGGAGGCAGCAGUGGGGAAUAUUGGACAAUGGGCCACAAGCCUGAUCCAGCAAUUCUGUGUGCACGAUGAAGGUUUUCGGAUCGUAAAGUGCUUUCAGUUGGGAAGAAGAAAGUGACGGUACCAACAGAAGAAGCGACGGCUAAAUACGUGCCAGCAGCCGCGGUAAUACGUAUGUCGCAAGCGUUAUCCGGAUUUAUUGGGCGUAAAGCGCGUCUAGGCGGAAAAGAAAGUCUGAUGUUAAAAUGCGGGGCUCAACACCGUAUUGCGUUGGAAACUGCUUUUCUAGAGUACUGGAGAGGUGGGCGGAACUACAAGUGUAGAGGUGAAAUUCGUAGAUAUUUGUAGGAAUGCCGAUGGAGAAGUCAGCUCACUGGACAGAUACUGACGCUAAAGCGCGAAAGCGUGGGGAGCAAACAGG